UACGGAGGGUGCAAGCGUUAUCCGGAUUCACUGGGUUUAAGGGGUGCGUAGGUGGGCAGGUAAGUCAGUGGUGAAAUCUCCGGGCUUAACCCGGAAACUGCCGUUGAUACUAUCUGUCUUGAAUAUCCUGGAGGUGAGCGGAAUAUGUCAUGUAGCGGUGAAAUGCUUAGAUAUGACAUAGAACACCAAUUGCGAAGGCAGCUCACUACGGGAUCAUUGACACUGAGGCACGAAAGCGUGGGGAUCAAACAGG
rnacentral:rRNA from 1 species